ACACUCCUGCGGGAGGCAACAGUGGGGAAUUUUGGACAAUGGGGGCAACCCUGAUCCAGCAAUGCCGCGUGAGUGAAGAAGGCCUUCGGGUUGUAAAGCUCUUUUGUCAGGGAAGAAACGGUGGUGGCGAAUAACUACUACUAAUGACGGUACCUGAAGAAUAAGCACCGGCUAACUACGUGCCAGCAGCCGCGGUAAUACGUAGGGUGCAAGCGUUAAUCGGAAUUACUGGGCGUAAAGCGUGCGCAGGCGGUUGUGUAAGUCAGAUGUGAAAUCCCCGGGCUCAACCUGGGAAUUGCAUUUGAGACUGCACGGCUAGAGUGUGUCAGAGGGGGGUAGAAUUCCACGUGUAGCAGUGAAAUGCGUAGAUAUGUGGAGGAAUACCGAUGGCGAAGGCAGCCCCCUGGGAUAACACUGACGCUCAUGCACGAAAGCGUGGGGAGCAAACAGGAUUAGAAACCCUUGUAGUCCCAUGAU
rnacentral:rRNA from 1 species